GAUGAAGAACGUAGCAAAAUGCGAUAAGUAAUGUGAAUUGCAGAAUUCAGUGAAUCAUCGAAUCUUUGAACGCACAUUGCGCCCGCUGGUAUUCCGGCGGGCAUGCCUGUUCGAGCGUCAUUUCAACCCUCAAGCCCCCGGGUUUGGUGUUGGGGAUCGGCUCUGCCCUCUGGGCGGUGCCGCCCCCGAAAUGCAUUGGCGGUCUCGCUGCAGCCUCCAUUGCGUAGUAGCUAACACCUCGCAACUGGAACGCGGCGCGGCCAUGCCGUAAAACCCCAACUUCUGAAUGUUGACCUCGGAUCAGGUAGGAAUACCCGCUGAACUUAAGCAUAUCAAUAAGCGGAGGA
rnacentral:misc_RNA from 1 species